UGGGGGAUAUUGCACAAUGGGCGAAAGCCUGAUGCAGCGACGCCGCGUGGGGGAUGAAGGCUUUCGGGUUGUAAACCUCUUUCGCUAUCGAACAAGGCCCGCUUAGGGUGGGUUGAGGGUAGGUGGAGAAGAGGCGCCGGCUAACUACGUGCCAGCAGCCGCGGUAAUACGUAGGGCGCGAGCGUUGUCCGGAAUUAUUGGGCGUAAAGGGCUUGUAGGCGGCUUGUUGCGCCUGCUGUGAAAACGCGGGGCUUAACUUCGCGCGUGCAGUGGGUACGGGCAGGCUUGAGUGUGGUAGGGGUGACUGGAAUUCCAGGUGUAGCGGUGGAAUGCGCAGAUAUCUGGAGGAACACCGAUGGCGAAGGCAGGUCACUGGGCCAUUACUGACGCUGAGGAGCGAAAGCAUGGGUAGCGAACAGG
rnacentral:rRNA from 1 species